rnacentral:rRNA from 1 species
CUACGGGAGGCAGCAGUGAGGAAUAUUGGUCAAUGGGCGAGAGCCUGAACCAGCCAUGCCGCGUGCAGGAAGACGGUUCUAUGAAUUGUAAACUGCCUUUCUACAGGAAGAAACCACCUUACGCGUAAGGUUUUGCCGGUACUGUAGGAAUAAGCAUCGGCUAACUCCGUGCCAGCAGCCGCGGUAAUACGGAGGAUGCAAGCGUUAUCCGGAUUCAUUGGGUUUAAAGGGUGCGUAGGCGGAAUAAUAAGUCAGUGGUGAAAUCCUGCGGCUCAACCGUAGAAUUGCCAUUGAAACUGUUAUUCUUGAAUGUAGUUGAGGUAGGCGGAAUGUGUAAUGUAGCGGUGAAAUGCAUAGAUAUUACACAGAACACCGAUUGCGAAGGCAGCUUACUAAGCUAUGAUUGACGCUGAUGCACGAAAGCGUGGGGAGCGAACAGGAUUAGAUACCCUGGUAGUCCACGCUGUAAACGUUAAGUCGCUCGUUGUUUGCGAUAUACAGUAAGCGAGCUGAGCGAAAGCAUUAAGUGUCC